rnacentral:rRNA from 1 species
UACGGAAGGCAGCAGUGGGGAAUAUUGCACAAUGGGCGCAAGCCUGAUGCAGCCAUGCCGCGUGUAUGAAGAAGGCCUUCGGGUUGUAAAGUACUUUCAGUCGUGAGGAAGGUGUUAAGGUUAAUAACCUUAGCAAUUGACGUUAGCGACAGAAGAAGCACCGGCUAACUCCGUGCCAGCAGCCGCGGUAAUACGGAAGGUGCGAGCGUUAAUCGGAAUUACUGGGCGUAAAGGGCACGCAGGCGGUUAAUUAAGUUGGAUGUGAAUCCCCGGGCUUAACCUGGGAAUGGCAUUCAAGACUGGUUAGCUAGAGUCUUGUAGAGGGGGUAGAAUUCCAUGUGUAGCGGUGAAAUGCGUAGAGAUGUGGAGGAAUACCGGUGGCGAAGGCGGCCCCUGGACAAAGACUGACGCUCAUGUGCGAAGCGUGGGGAGCAACAGGGAUUAGAUA